rnacentral:lncRNA from 1 species
CUCAUUACAAGAUAACAUGCUAAAUACGCCUGACUUAAGAUGACCGUGGUGUACUCGAACAAGAUAUUCUGAAUUUCAAGAUCUGCGUUGAAUCGACGAAUACGUGGCGAAUUUAAAGGUUGUACUUCCAAUCUUGGUCCACAGCAUAUUCUGUUAAAAUAUUUUAUGAAAAACCUCCAAAGUUUUAUACGAACGUUAAGAGUUGCCUUACUUAGAACGUUUGAGAUACCAUGUAACAGUGAUAAACCAACGAAAAGCCGGAUAUCUUGAAAACCAGACUGCAUAGUUCGGUAUAGCACAAUUGCACCCCCGCGUAGGAAAUAACACAACACAAAAGCUCGAUCUGGUGUAAUAAUCUCCGAACUCUUCCUGAGAAUAAUGUAUUUUACAAAUGCAGUUACUGGGAAAACCUUUCCGGGUGUGACUGCGGCGAUUACGGC